GUGCCAGCCGCCGCGGUACUACCGGCAGCCCGAGUGAUGGCCGAUCUUAUUGGGCCUAAAGCGUCCGUAGCUGGCUGCGCAAGUCCGUCGGGAAAUCCACUCGCUCAACGAGUGGGCGUCCGACGGAAACUGCACAGCUUGGGACCGGAAGGCUCAGAGGGUACGUCCGGGGUAGGAGUGAAAUCCUGUAAUCCUGGACGGACCGCCGGUGGCGAAAGCACUUCGAGAAAACGGAUCCGACAGUGAGGGACGAAAGCCAGGGUCUCCAACCGGAUUAGAAACCCCAGUAGUCC
rnacentral:rRNA from 1 species